UUUGCCGCAAAUAAAUUUAGUUCGUACAGUUGGGUUUGCAUGAAAGUAGCAAUAUUGUCGUAGGCUGUUUAUGUUGGUGAUGACUGAUGAUGGCACCAACACACGAAGGUUCCUACUCUAACUUUAUACUUACACACGAUCUUGUUUACGUAUAUAAAUAAAUAAAUGUGUGUGUGUGUAUAUAGCAUACUACUACCUCUUAAUUAUUAUUCAAUAUUCUCGAUCAUGGAAAAGAAAACAAGAAUGGAAAUGGAGCACCGAACUAAAUCAACAACAGUUGAGAAGAAAUGCAGAAAAAUGAACUCAUUCCCUCCAGUUAGAGGAAGCAUCAAGAGGAGAAUGUUCAUCUUCAUGUAUGGAAACAUAAAGCGGACAUUCAGCCACCGCAUCCUGUUCACCUCAAAUUAGGCAUGCUCCUCAGACACUCACGGAAGAUGCAGUGUUGCUGUUACCAAAUAAAUAAAUUUAUGACUUGUUUCUAAUGUAUUUCAAAUUUUUAGAUUAGAAGUAAUGAACCAUCAUCCUAUACGUACCUUUUAUUAUUCUAUGUUCAUUGCUGCUAAUUGUUUAUUGUAGCUUUCGUAGCACUCAUGCAUCCUGUUGUAUUUUUGAAAUCCUGCAAUGAAAGACUGGUGGAUUUUUAUUGAAUUUGAUUAUCUUUUCAACAAAUAUGUUGAAGCUUGAACUUGGACCCUAAAGCAGACAAAGAAUUGCCCUGCUUUAUUGUGCAUGUCAAUGUGGUGCAAGGUUCUUCCAUUCCCUUGGGCAUCAUAGUGUUAAAUUGAAAAAUAAUUGGAUGUUAUAGCAAUUAGAAUUGAGGAUUAGGCAUGAAGAGGCAUGGUACACAUAAAUAAAUAAAUAAAUAAAUAUUUU
rnacentral:lncRNA from 1 species